GGGAUCACGGCCUGGGGAUUGGAGGGGCACAUCUUCUCCGCACCGAGGAUCUCAGCGACUGCGAGCACGGCUCGGAGACCCACGGUGGUGCAGCGUUGGGGCGCCAGGGCUGCGUUCCCGUCUCGCGUCCCGGACUGAGAAGAAAUACUUUCAGAGCUCUUUCAUUCAUCCUGACAAUGGCCAGAGAAGGUAGGUAUUGGUAGCCUUAUUUUAGAGAUGGGGAAACUGAGGCUGAGAGUAGGUAAGUAAGCUGUCCAAGGGCACUCAGCUAACAAAGGACAGAAGCAAGCCUCCUCACUGUCUACCUCCAAAACCUACACUGGCUUGGAGUUGCUGUCCUGGCCCUCCACUGCCCAUCUCAUGUAGGACGGGAGAGUAUGGGGGGCUGGGGUCCCAUCUAUAGCCUGAAUUUGAGACUUUCAGUUGCUCCUCUCAUUCCCCAUUUAAUUUGUGGGGAUCCCCAACUGACCCCUCCCUACACUUCCAGGGCACUGAGGAGGGAGGGCCCGCUGAAGGAGCCCCGAAUUAUCUCUAGGCCAGGUCAGGAGCCAUUAGUGUCCCCUCCCCUGACAGCAUCCUCCUCCUUCUGCCCUCACAUUCAGAGCCACUGACAAGACUUUAAGCAAGAGACGGAGAGUUAACAUCUAAUCUGGAGGAAGACCCUGGAAGGAGCCAGCCCCUUCCCCCAGGCUGACCUGGUUUAAGCCUUUCUUCUGCCAAGGUCACCAGCACCCCAGAUGGGUGAGAGAUGUGAUCACUGGUUUCGUGGCCUGACCAAGGACCUCCAAGAUUCUGUGGCAGAUGAGAAAUGCCUUGGUCCUUGGGCUGCUUGCAGCCUAGCGAGGGACAGACUUUUAACCUCUCUAGGAGAGUGGCUGCUUCAAGUCAUCCUAUGGGACCAGCUGUUCAUGCUUCCUCUUGCCCAGAACUACUUCUGUGAGAGGAAAAGAGAAGGGUAGGAGCGUGCCCUGCAGCUGGAAACCCAAGCCAGGCGGGGAGCCACGAAUGCAGUAGUUAUCAGACUGUAUCUUCAAUCCUGGGGGCUUCUCAAGCCAUUGCCAGCCACUCUUCACCCAAGGCCUGGUGGAAUAAAGCUGGGCUAAGUAACACCUCUUCUGUGGAAAAUUAUUGUUUCUGCAAGCCUAUAUUCAUUCUCCCUCUCUCUCAUGCUGAUCAGAACUGUGAGUUACAAAAAAAAUGAGAAGAUGGAAUCAAUUAUUACGUAGUAAAUUUCAUUUGCUUGGCAGGAGGUAUCUUUCCCAUCUUGGCCCACAGAGGAGGAAAUCCUAGAAGGGAUGACUGAAGCUUGGGACUAACACAUUGGUGGAUCUGUGCUACCCCCUGCUGGCCGUAGACGGUAUGACAGCCAAGAUAGGGCAAGGCUUCGAGGGGCGAUGGAUGGAUUCACCGCAGCGGCGACAUUUCUGGACUGUUGUCACCUUCAGUGCAGUCACUGGGAAUAUUCAGAACCCAGGUGAUUGAUAAGGUUUUCCCAGGGAUCUCUUCUCUCCCCUUCACCAUUACUCAGUAGGAGCUUCCUUAAAAACGGAAAACGAGAGGCCGGGCGCGGUGGCUCACGCCUGUAAUCCCAGCACUUUGGGAGGCGGAGGCGGGCGGAUCACGAGGUCAGGAGAUCGAGACCAUCCUGGCUAACACAACCCCGUCUCUACUUAAAAUACAAAAAAUUAGCCGGGCGUGGUGGCACGCGCCUGUAGUUCCAGCUACUCAGGAGGCUGAGGCAGGAGAAUCGCUUGAACCCGGGAGGCAGAGGAGGUUGCAGUGAGCUGAGAUGGCGCCACUGCACUCCAGCCUGGCCGACUGAGACUCCAUCUCAAAAAAAAAAAAAAAAAAAGGAAAAAGGGGCCGGGCGCGGUGGCUCACGUCUAUAAUCCUAGCACUUUGGGAGACCAAGGCGGGCAGAUCACGAGGUCAGGAAUUUGAGACUAGUGUGGCCAACAUGGUGAAACCCCAUCUCUACUAAAAAUACAAAAAAUUAGCCGGGUGUGGUGGCGCAUGCCUGUAAUCCUAGCUACUCGGGAGGCCGAGGCAGGAGAAUCGCUUGAACCCAGGAGGCCGAGGUUGCAGUGAGCCGAGAUCACGCCAUUGCACUCCAGCCUGGGCGACAGAGCAAGACUCCGUCUUGAGGGAAAAAAAAAAAAAAAAGAAAAAGGGGCCAGGCACCUGUAAUCCCAGCACUUUGGGAGGCUGAGGAGGGAAGAUCGCUAAAACCCAGGAGUUCAAGACCAGCCUGGGCAACAUGGUGAGACCCCAUCUCUACAAAAAAUGCAAAAAAAAAAAAAACAAAAACAAAAAAAAAAACAGCUGGGCAUGAUGGUGCGCACCUGUAGUCCCAGCUACUCGGGAGGCUGAGGUGGGAGGAUUAUUUGAGCCUGAGAGGUCAAGGCUGCAGUGAGCCAAGAUCGCAUCACUGCACUCUAGCCUGGGUAACAGAGCAAGACCCUGCCUCAAAAAAAAAAAAAAAAAAGGAAAAAGGUUAUUACACAGUUCAAAAGAGAAACAAAGUGCAAAAGCAUGUGCAAAGAAAGUAAAGUCCCUCCUGGCCAAGUGCGAUGGCUCAAGCCUGUAAUCUCAACACCCUGGGAGGCUGAAGUGGGUAGAUCAUUUGAGGUCUGGAGUUUGAGACCAGCCUGGCCAACAUGGUGAAACCCCGUCUCUACUAAAAAUAUAAAAAUUAGCUUGGCGUAGUGGCGGGUGCCUGUAAUCCCAGGUACUCGGGAGGCUGAGGCAGGAGAAUCACUUGAACUUGGGAGGCGGAGGGUGCCGCGAGCCAAGAUCACGCCAGUGCACUCUAGCCUGGGCAACAGAGCAAGACUCCAUCUCGAAGGAAGGAAGGAAGGAAGGAAGGAAGGAAGGAAGGAAGGAAGGAAGGAAGGAAGGAAGGGGAAAGAAAGGAAAGAUCUCUUGCCAAUCAGCCUCCCUGUUGCCCUGUUUCCCAUUCCCUCCCCAGAGGCAACCACUCUUAACAGUUUUUUUGUUUUUGUUUUUGUUUUUUUUUAGACAGAGUCUCACUCUGUUGCCCAGGCGGCUGGAGUGCAGUGGUGUGAUCUCAGCUCACUGCGACCUCCGCUUCCCAGAUUCAAGCAAUUCUCCUGCCUCAGCCUCCUGAGUAGCUGGGACUACAGGUGUGUGCCACCACGUUCAGCUAAUUUUUGUAUUUUUAGUAGAGACGGGGUUUCACCAUGUUGGCCAGGCUGGUCUUGAACUCCUGACCUCAAGUGAUCCACCCGCCUUGGCCUCCCAAAGUGCUGGGAUUACAGGUGUGAGCCACCGCGCCUGGCCUCUUAACAGUUCUAAUGUAUCUUUGCAGAGCUAUUUGGAGCAUAUGCUGUGUAUAUGUGCGUGUGUGUGUGACACAAAUGAUAGCACACGCUCUACACUGUUCAGCACCUGCUAUUUUCAUGUCAUAAUAUACCUGCCUGUAGAUAGUCAACAUAGUUUUCCAUCGUAUGGUGUGUCACAAUUUAUUUACCAUUCCCCUCCUAGUGGAUAUUUAUGUAUGUCCGCCUUUUAUUACUACAAACAAUGCUAAUUACAGGAAAUAUCUUGGUACAUAUAUUUGCAGACAUAUGUGUGUGUGUGAAAUAAAUUUAUAAGUAUGGCAAUUCUGGGUCAAAGAUUAUGUGCUCUUAAAUGUUUUAUAGGUUUUCACAGAAUUGCCCUCCAAAAAUUUUGUACCAAUUUACAAUCCCCAACAACGGAUGAGAUCACCUGUUUCCCCAAAUCCUCACAAACAGGUUAAUAUCAGGCCUUUUGAUCUUAGGUGAUGACUCUUUAAAAGUCCUGCUCACAGAGCAGUUGAUGAUCUGUCUUUUUCUUUGGGCCGCGGGUUUCUCCAAGGAAGGGACUGUGUCUUUCUCAUACCUACAUCCCCAGUGAAGGACUUGACACCAUCCUUGGGAGUUACUCAAGAAGUGUCUGCUAAAUAUUGAGUGAAAGAAACAGAGCUGCAUUUUGGCAGGCUGGGAGGGAGAGGGUAAAAGGUUAGGUUUGAACAGGAGGCCUGCUUUUUUUUUUUUUUUUUGAGAUGGAGUCUCACUCUGUUGCCCAGGCUGGAGUGCAGUGGCGCGAUCUCAGCUCACUGCAACCUCCAAGGAGGACUGCUCUUUAGGGCCACUUUCUCUUCCAGACCCUGGUCAAGCCUCUGCCCCAAAUCCAAAAGCCUUCCUCUUGCAGGAGCCUCCCAGGUUGCAAGGUCUGAGGUUGAAGGCCCAGAACUCCCAGUGCAGCUUUCACCCAGCUCUGCUGCAUUCCAGGGAUGGGCCCCAUCAUCCCCAAGCUGCCUGAGAACUGGAAACAAACUAGGUGUCCAGCUUUAGGGGAUCAGUUAAACCACUGUCCUAUAGAACUUUCUGCAAUGAUGAAAAUGUUCUCUAUCUGCCCUGUCCAAUAUGGCAGCCACUGGCCACUCGUAGCUACCGAGUAUUCAAGCUGUAGCUAGUUCAACUAAGGAAAUAAAUAAAUGUUACUUAAUUUUAAUUAAUUUCCAUUUAAGUAGCCAUGUGUGGCUACAUAUUGGACAGUGAAGGGUUCAGUAAAUUAUGAUAUAGCCCCACAAUGGAAAACUAUGCAGCUGUAAAAAAAAAAAAUAAUAAGGAUGCCAAGAAAAAUGGAAAGAUCUUCAGGAUAUAUUUUGAAACAAAAAUGUGGUACAGGCUGUGUGCAGUGGCUCACGCCAAUAAUCCCAGCACUUUGGGAGGCCAAGGUGAGAGGCCGAGGCAGGAGGAUCACUUGAGUCCAGGGGUUCAAGACCAGCCUGGUCAACAUAAUGAGACUUCCGUCUCUACAGAAAGUGAAAAAAAAAAAAAAGACAGCAUGGUGGUAUAUGAAUGUAGUCCCAUCUACUCAGGAAGCUGAGGUGGGAGGAUUGCUUGAGCCAGGGAAGUUGAGGCUGCAGUAAGCUGUGAUUGUGCCACCACACUCCAGCCUGUGUGACAGAGCAAGACCCCAUCUAAAAAAAAAAAAAAAGGCCAGGCACGAUGGCUCACACAUGUAAUCCCAGCACUUUGGGAGGCCGAGGACCGUGGAUCACCUGAGGUUGGGAGCUCAAGACCAGCCUGACCAACAUAGAGAAACCUCAUCUCUACUAAAAACACAAAAUUAGCUGGGUGUGGUGGCACAUGCCUAUAAUCCCAGCUACUCAGAAGACUGAGGCAGAAGAACCACUUGAACCCAGGAGGCGGAGGUUGCGGUGAGCCAAGAUAGUGCCAUUGCACUUCAGCCUGGGUAACAAGAGCGAAACUCUGUCUCAAAAAAAAAAAUGUGGUUCAGAACAGUAUACAUAGUAUGUCAUCUUUUUUGAAAGAAAGGCAGGUAGGCCGGGCGCAGUGGCUCACACCUGUAAUCCCAGCACUUUGGGAGGCCGAGGUGGGCGGAUCACGAGGUCAGGAGAUUGAGACCAUCCUGGCUAACGCGGUGAAACCCUGUCUCUACUAAAAAUACAAAAAAUUAGCCGGGCGUAGGUGGUGCACUCCUGUAGUCCCAGCUACUCGGGAGGCUGAGGCAGGAGAAUGGCGUAAAACCCGGGAGGCUGAGCUUGCAGUGAGCCAAGAUCGCGCCACUGUACUUCAGCCUGGGAGACAGAGCGAGAUUCCGUCUCAAAAAAUAAAAAAAAAAGAAAAAGAAAGGCAGGUAGAGGAGGCUGGAUGUGGUGGCUCAUGCCUGUAAUACCAGCACUUUGGGAGGCCAAGGGGGACAGAUCACUUGCAGAAAUGUGAGACCGGCCUGGACAACAUGGUGAAACCCCAUCUCUACACAAAAUACAAAAAUUAGUUGGACGUGGUAGUGCGCACCUGUAGUCCCAGCUACUCAGGAGGCUAAAGUGGGAGGGUUGCUUGAGCUGGGGAAGUCAAGGCUGCAGUGAGCCAAGAUUGCACCACUGCACUCCAGCAGGGGUGACAGAGGGAGACAGCAGGAGUGACAGAGUGAGACCCUGUCUCAAAAAAAAAAAGAAAAGAGCUUUGCACAGUGGUAGUAUCGUAGCCAAUGAAUGAAAGGGAGGUGGAAAUAAAAAUAAAUGUUUAUAUUUGCUUGAAUUUGCAUAGGGAAAGCAAUAACAGUGGGUGACCUAUAGGGAGCUGGGGAAUCCUGUUGCGGGGGUAGGCAAGGACAGGGUGGGAACAGAGCUUUCCAGUGAAUUUCUUUAUAUUUCAUUUUGGUUGUUGAAACAUGUACAUAUAUUACCUAUUCAAAAAGUUAAAUUAAGGUCAGGUGCAGUGGCUCAUGCCCGUAAUCCCAGUACUUUGGGAGGUUGAGGUAGGAGGAUCACUUUACCCCAGGAGUUGGAGACCAGCCUGGGCAAUAUAGUGAGACCUCCUUUCUACAAAAAGUUUACAAAUUAGCCAUAAGCCAG
rnacentral:lncRNA from 1 species